UGCAAGUCGAGCGGACAGAAGGGAGCUUGCUCCCGGAUGUUAGCGGCGGACGGGUGAGUAACACGUGGGUAACCUGCCUGUAAGACUGGGAUAACUCCGGGAAACCGGAGCUAAUACCGGAUAGUUCCUUGAACCGCAUGGUUCAAGGAUGAAAGACGGUUUCGGCUGUCACUUACAGAUGGACCCGCGGCGCAUUAGCUAGUUGGUGGGGUAAUGGCUCACCAAGGCGACGAUGCGUAGCCGACCUGAGAGGGUGAUCGGCCACACUGGGACUGAGACACGGCCCAGACUCCUACGGGAGGCAGCAGUAGGGAAUCUUCCGCAAUGGACGAAAGUCUGACGGAGCAACGCCGCGUGAGUGAUGAAGGUUUUCGGAUCGUAAAGCUCUGUUGUUAGGGAAGAACAAGUGCGAGAGUAACUGCUCGCACCUUGACGGUACCUAACCAGAAAGCCACGGCUAACUACGUGCCAGCAGCCGCGGUAAUACGUAGGUGGCAAGCGUUGUCCGGAAUUAUUGGGCGUAAAGGGCUCGCAGGCGGUUUCUUAAGUCUGAUGUGAAAGCCCCCGGCUCAACCGGGGAGGGUCAUUGGAAACUGGGAAACUUGAGUGCAGAAGAGGAGAGUGGAAUUCCACGUGUAGCGGUGAAAUGCGUAGAGAUGUG
rnacentral:rRNA from 1 species